CAAAGGUAUGAUGAGGCCUCAUUUUUUGUCAAAAAUUUGAAUUACACAUUAAGUAAUAUAAAUGAUAUUUUUCAUUUCGAAAUAAGAAUAGAGUAGGAAUGGAUCUGAGAAAUAAGACAUUAUGUAUGAUUUGUACUGAGUGCAGAUUAAAAUAAUUGUUUAAAUUCAGACUGGUCUGCAAGACUUGAAAUUAGAUGUACAUAUUAUUAUAUUUUCCCCCUCCAAUAAAUAGCUAAAGUUCUUUAAUCAAUACAAUUAUCACCAGUUGAAAGAAAAUUCUUCUGUCUGUACUUUGUGAUGUGGCUUUAAUGAUCUUUUAUAAAUCCUAACUUGUGUUAUUGUUUUAUUUUUCAUCAGAAUUAUAAACCUGUUUGUUAAGUCAUAUUUUUUGUUUUUGUUUUGUUUAAUGAAAUCUAUAUGUUAGCAAUUGUCA
rnacentral:lncRNA from 1 species